UUGUCUUGACAGUUCGUCUGAGCUUUACAGCACUUUAUAGGUUAAGUUUCAAGAUACACCCAAUAAUGAAACAUAUUUACGCAAUUUAUUAGCGAAAUACCGAUCGAUAUUAUAUGGGAGUACGAAAAUGAACGUGUUAUUGAUACUCUUUUUAAUCUUUAUAGUUGUAUACUUUAUUGUAUCUUGGCUCCUGCCGACAUGGUUGGCAUGGUUAUUCAAG